rnacentral:rRNA from 1 species
GACGAACGCUGGCGGCGCGCCUAACACAUGCAAGUCGAACGAGAGAGAGGGAGCUUGCUUCCUCGAUCGAGUGGCGAACGGGUGAGUAACGCGUGAGGAACCUGCCUCAAAGAGGGGGACAACAGUUGGAAACGACUGCUAAUACCGCAUAAGCCCACGACCCGGCAUCGGGUUGAGGGAAAAGGAGCAAUCCGCUUUGAGAUGGCCUCGCGUCUGAUUAGCUAGUUGGUGAGGUAACGGCCCACCAAGGCAACGAUCGGUAGCCGGACUGAGAGGUUGAACGGCCACAUUGGGACUGAGACACGGCCCAGACUCCUACGGGAGGCAGCAGUGGGGGAAUAUUGCACAAUGGGGGAAACCCGUGAUGCAGCGACGCCGCGUGGAGGAAGAAGGUCUUCGGAUUGUAAACCCCUUUCAUGAGGAAAGAUAAAGUGGGUAACCACUUAGACGGUACCUCAAGAAGAAGCCACGGCUAACUUCGUGCCAGCAGCCGCGGU